UACGAAGGGGGCGAGCGUUGUUCGGAAUUACUGGGCGUAAAGGGCGCGCAGGCGGCUCAUUUUGUCAGGCGUGAAAGCCCCGGGCUUAACCUGGGAACUGCGUUUGAUACGGAUGGGCUAGAGUUCGGGAGAGGAGAGUGGAAUUCCCAGUGUAGAGGUGAAAUUCGUAGAUAUUGGGAAGAACACCGGUGGCGAAGGCGGCUCUCUGGACCGAGACUGACGCUGAGGCGCGAAAGCGUGGGGAGCAAACAGG
rnacentral:rRNA from 1 species